rnacentral:lncRNA from 1 species
GAUGAAUGAGGAUGAUGGGCGACCACGGGCUCACAAAACAUCUAUCAUCCCUCCGUCCGACAGGAGGCGAUAACGUCCCACGCGUCCAUGAUCGAAGUCCACUGCGGGGUAACCAACACAUUUUUGUUAGUUAUUGGAAAGAGUUAAUAAAUAGCCAAUGUGGACAAGAUUAAGGAGAUUAAAAAAGUAUGCAAAAAUCACACGUUUACCAUUACGCUACUGUGCUUUCAUUAAAUACGCUUACAACAAUCAAGUGAUGAACGCAAUGCAGUAUUUUUACGCGUUUACUGUAUUCGGGCAUGAAUAUUAUUUUUCUAUCAGGUCGUGUACAAACACAUGUUGAAGACUAUUACACGAUUGUAUGAAUCCGAAUAGCAAAUAGACAACGUGAAAAUGAAUGGUGCGUUCUUGAUUUUCUAAAUCAACAAUCAUGCUGUACCAAAUCAAUCUAACGGUUCUAGAAUACGUUUAUUGGUCAUAUACUGUGUUGACAUGCUUUGUUGAUGAAAAACAAACAGGAUAGAGAAACACAAACUAAUUCAAGUACAUUGCAUUAAGUACUGUAACAAGAUAAUAAACACACAUGCGUUUGAAUAAUCCUACGACGAAAAAUGUUACAUAAAGAUUUUGUAUGUCAGAAAUAAAGUGAGCUGAGUACAAAAAAUUUUAUCCGAUUUUGUACACAACGUAGCAAAUGUAGUGAAAUAAUAAUUCACUAAGCGACAUAAAAGGUAUUACAUACUAUAUAGUCAGAUAAUGUAUAAUACAUAAUCUUUAAAAAUAACUAUUAUAUUAUAACAAAUAAAAAUAAUAAUAAUAGUAUAAAAAUAUAACAAUAGGAAUAAACUGAUGACAGCAGUGGUUACGGCUGUACGUAUAGGCUUUUAACUAACGUAGCAAAAUGAGUAAAUACGAUUAUGGGCCCGCAAUAAUAAUAAUAAUAAUAUAUGUAUCGUAGGAAUAAUAUUAAUAAUAAUAAUAAUAAUAAUAAUAAUAAUAAUAAUAAUAAUAAUAACAACAAUGAUAAUAAUAAUAAAAUAAUAAUAAAAUAAUAUGAUAAUUAUAUACUAGUAACAAUAAUAGUGGCACAAUGUAUAAUGUAUAGUAUCACAAAAUAAUCAUUAUACGACACAACUACCUACAUUUAUUAAUGAAGUAAACUCUCGUAAUGUAACUUAAUUACGAUUGUUUCAACGUUCGUGCUUUUACUAAAAUGUGUGUACUGUAUUUGUGUGGUUUAGAGGGCAUAAAAAUCCACACGGUAGCACCUGAACGAUCAUCCUAUCCUUCAAUUGUCAACAUCAGAAAUAUUGAUGUGAAUUUUCAAAAAAAGGCAGUAUUGCCAAAACUUAACCACCUAAUAAAAAGGUACAACUUUUAAAAUAUGAUAGCAAAAGUCAUCACUAUUUUUCACAAAAUCUAUGAGCUAAUAUUUAAAAACGAUUCUCUCCUCAUGCAAAUGGAAACGCUUGGAACGGAUAUUUUUACUAGGAUAAUAAAUAAAUACAAAAUCUUCUAUGUAGUAACAUUGUUAUAAUCCAUCUGUUACAAAAUUGAAUAACUUAAAGUAUUAUGCGAUUGAUUUUGACCUAAUAUGAUAUUUUGUGAUCAAUUAAAAAUUUCUUUCACUUAAAUUUUAGAUAAUUGAAGUUUUAUGCCACCGAUAUUGAAGGUGAACAAAAAAUAAUUAUCGUUUUACAAUUGAUGUGUAACUAAAUUUUUUCAAAACUCACGCGGAAUCCAUCCGUGUGACAUAAAACUAUAUGAUGUGCACUAUGGGAAAGGAGACCAUUUGCCUUUAUUUAUAUCUUUGCCAUAGUUGGCUUUAGUGCAUAAUGAGCAC